rnacentral:rRNA from 1 species
UACGGGGGGGCAAGCGUUGUUCGGAAUUACUGGGCGUAAAGGGCGCGUAGGCGGUGCUCUAAGUCGGAUGUGAAAACUCUGGGCUCAACCCAGAGCCUGCAUCCGAAACUGGAGUGCUAGAGUUCUGGAGGGGGUAGCGGAAUUCCUGGUGUAGCGGUGAAAUGCGCAGAUAUCAGGAGGAACACCGGUGGCGAAGGCGGGAUCCUGGGCCAGUACUGACGCUGAGGAGCGAAAGCGUGGGGAGCAAACAGG